rnacentral:rRNA from 1 species
AACGAACGCUGGCGGUAGGCUUAACACAUGCAAGUCGAACGCCCCGCAAGGGGAGUGGCAGACGGGUGAGUAACGCGUGGGAAUCUACCCAUCCCUACGGAAUAACGCAUGGAAACGUGUGCUAAUACCGUAUACGCCCUACGGGGGAAAGAUUUAUCGGGGAUGGAUGAGCCCGCGUUGGAUUAGCUAGUUGGUGGGGUAAAGGCCUACCAAGGCGACGAUCCAUAGCUGGUCUGAGAGGAUGAUCAGCCACAUUGGGACUGAGACACGGCCCAAACUCCUACGGGAGGCAGCAGUGGGGAAUAUUGGACAAUGGGCGCAAGCCUGAUCCAGCCAUGCCGCGUGAGUGAUGAAGGCCUUAGGGUUGUAAAGCUCUUUCACCGGAGAAGAUAAUGACGGUAUCCGGAGAAGAAGCCCCGGCUAACUUCGUG